rnacentral:rRNA from 1 species
AGGCGGUCUGUUAUGUCGGAUGUGAAAGCCCUUGGCUCAACUGAGGAAGUGCAUCCGAAACUGGCAGGCUGGAGUACGUAAGAGGGUCGCGGAAUUCCCGGUGUAGAGGUGAAAUUCGUAGAUAUCGGGAGGAACACCGGUGGCGAAGGCGGCGACCUGGGACGAUACUGACGCUGAGGUGCGAAAGCGUGGGGAGCAAACA